rnacentral:lncRNA from 1 species
CUGUCUAUCAUAAAAUGCAUGAUACAUUAUUGAUAAGUUAUCUCAGAAAACUUUUAUGAGAAUCACAAUAGUUGUUUCUAUUAUAUAUAGACAAAAUUUUGCAAAAUUUUAAGUACUUGAUAUUUAUGUCACUUGUUGAUACACCUUGAGACAGAUCAUCCACCAUGAUGCUGGUGCCAAUCCUAUGGCAGCCUGACACCUAUUUUUGGUAACAGGUGACGAAGUAACUACUCAAGCUCUGCCACCUAAUUUUUUAUGUCCGUGCUAGAGGUACUCUAAAUUUUUCCACUCAUUGACGCCAAAAAGUCGGCCAUCUCGCCGCUCCAUUUUUUUCUCCACACAAUGAGAUCUGUAAUUUCAAUAAACUUUAGAAUAUAUGAGCUAUUAUUCCCUAACGGUCGGAGCACGUCCCCCGACCUCUACUCCCUAGCAGCAACGCAUAUUCCUGAAAACAAUAAGUACCUAGCUUUGUCUAUAAAAUUCAACUCUUCGAGAUCUUCUAGAUAAGCUAAGUGAACAAUUACUUCGCAUGCUUUUUUUCUAAGACUGAUUCCAUACAAACUGGAACAUAUCCUCUCCAAAAAGCUUUGAGCAGUUCUAAAUCCAUCUCUGAAUUCUACCUUCUACAUGGCAUCCUUUGAACUUUCACUUUCCAUUCUCUUACUCCAUAUUACCUCACUUCAUACUCAAUUCCGUCACUAAAUUCUUUGAGACAGCUCAGUCCUCUUCUAUUUAUCUCUGCAGAAGAUUGAUUGAGGCAUCAGAGGAUCCACCAUC